rnacentral:rRNA from 1 species
CUGGCUCAGAUUGAACGCUGGCGGCGUGCUUAACACAUGCAAGUCGAACGCGAAAGGGACUUCGGUCCUGAGUAAAGUGGCGCACGGGUGAGUAACGCGUGGAUAAUCUGCCCUUAUGAUCGGGAUAACAGUUGGAAACGGCUGCUAAUACCGGAUACGCUCAAAAUGAACUUUUUUGAGGAAAGAUGGCCUCUGCUUGCAUGCUAUCACGUAAGGAUGAGUCCGCGUCCCAUUAGCUUGUUGGCGGGGUAACGGCCCACCAAGGCAACGAUGGGUAGCCGGCCUGAGAGGGUGGACGGCCACAUUGGAACUGAGACACGGUCCAGACUCCUACGGGAGGCAGCAGCUAAGAAUCUUCCGCAAUGGGCGAAAGCCUGACGGAGCCGACGCCGCGUGAACGAAGAAGGCCGUGAGGUUGUAAAGUUCUUUUCGGGAGGGGGAACAACCGUGGCAGGGAAUGGCCGCGGGAUGACGUGAAUCCCGGAAUAAGCCCCGGCUAACUACGUGCCAGCAGCCGC